rnacentral:rRNA from 1 species
UUGUCCGGAAUUAUUGGGCGUAAAGGGCUCGCAGGCGGUUUCUUAAGUCUGAUGUGAAAGCCCCCGGCUCAACCGGGGAGGGUCAUUGGAAACUGGGGAACUUGAGUGCAGAAGAGGAGAGUGGAAUUCCACGUGUAGCGGUGAAAUGCGUAGAGAUGUGGAGGAACACCAGUGGCGAAGGCGACUCUCUGGUCUGUAACUGACGCUGAGGAGCGAAAGCGUGGGGAGCGAACAGGAUUAGAUACCCUGGUAGUCCACGCCGUAAACGAUGAGUGCUAAGUGUUAGGGGGUUUCCGCCCCUUAGUGCUGCAGCUAACGCAUUAAGCACUCCGCCUGGGGAGUACGGUCGCAAGACUGAAACUCAAAGGAAUUGACGGGGGCCCGCACAAGCGGUGGAGCAUGUGGUUUAAUUCGAAGCAACGCGAAGAACCUUACCAGGUCUUGACAUCCUCUGACAAUCCUAGAGAUAGGACGUCCCCUUCGGGGGCAGAGUGACAGGUGGUGCAUGGUUGUCGUCAGCUCGUGUCGUGAGAUGUUGGGUUAAGUCCCGCAACGAGCGCAACCCUUGAUCUUAGUUGCCAGCAUUCAGUUGGGCACUCUAAGGUGACUGCCGGUGACAAACCGGAGGAAGGUGGGGAUGACGUCAAAUCAUCAUGCCCCUUAUGACCUGGGCUACACACGUGCUACAAUGGGCAGAACAAAGGGCAGCGAAACCGCGAGGUUAAGCCAAUCCCACAAAUCUGUUCUCAGUUCGGAUCGCAGUCUGCAACUCGACUGCGUGAAGCUGGAAUCGCUAGUAAU